UCCAAUAUAUCCUAUUGCUUGUCAUUUAUUUAUCAGUGUCCACCUCCAGGCUCCAAGAUGUCCUUCAGCACAGUUUUCAAGUUAACAAGAGGCCAGGAUUUAUGAGAAAUUUGGACACAGAGACAGAGACUCAGGGAGAAUGCCAUGUUUAUGCUGCCAGAAACCAAGGAACACCACAGAAGCCAGGAGAGAGGCCUGGAACAGAUGAUUCCUCACAACCGACCCUGUUGACACUUGAUCUCAGACUUUCAGCCUCCAGGACUUCUUUGGAACCUGGUAUGUGUUUUACACUUCAGCACAUGUCAACUCGGACUCGCCCCAUUUCAAGUGCUCAGUAGCCACACGUGGGCAGCGGCUCCCACCUAGGACAGUGAUGAACUGAAGGGUCACCUGCCAGAACUCUCAGCUCAUGUUCUCACCUAGACAUGCAUCUUGGGAGGAUUCUCUCCCCAUCAUGCAAAGCUGUUCUUCUUGCUCCAGUUGGGAUAUAAAUUAAUUUUUUCAGACGCCUGCUGCUUACCACUAGGGCCAAGACCCUACAUUUUUCAGUUUUCUCACUUGUCUUUAUAAAUCCAUGAAGGCAAAAUGCAAGGUGAUAUGAGAAGAACUGUAGAAGUGCACCAUGACCCAGAGGGUCACUGGGACAGAACUGUUGACUAGAGUCACAGGGCACAGCCUGCCAGGGGUGCUGGCAUCUUCCAAGAGCAUCUACUGUGUGCCAGGUAUUGUGCUGGGUGCUUGACACAAGGAGGUGCAUGCACUCCUUACAACAGCCUUAUGAGGCAGGUACUCUUAUUGCACCCAUUUCACAGAGGAGCAAAGUAAGGCUCAGAGAUACCAUUACCUGCCCAUGUCACCCAGCAACCAGUGAGUAAGGAGCUGUAAGGAGCUAGACUGACACGUGUGCCUCUAGGGAUUCACUUGACUCCUUAACAAGGAAAACCCCACUGCUCAAUGUCCCAUCUACCCAAAAUUCAAAUCCUUCCUCCGUUUCAAUAUCCUACAAUUAAAAAAUUAAUUUAAAAUAAACCAUAUUCAACUGGAAUAAUUUUCUGAAUAAUAUGAACUGCAUCUACUUUCGAAUAUACAAUUCUUAUUACACAAAAAAUAGUGCUGAUUUGCUAGAGGUAGAAAUUAAGGUGAGUUGGCUGUGCUUUAAAAUUCUUAAAAUGUUGAAAAAUGGGGGGAAAAAUGGAUCCCUGAAGGGGUGCGAAUUUUAGCUGCCUGAGGGUCCUGCCACCCACCCAAGGCUGGGAAUCUCCUCCACUUCCUGAGGGCUGUCCGGUCUGCUGAUCUCCCCACCCCAGGCUCGUAGGCCAGCCCCUGGACUGGGGUAUGACCCCCACAGGCCUAUGUUGAAAGUCUGGAAAGAAUCUAGAACCGCUGGACUCCUACCUGAGGGCCCAAGGGAUUUAAGUGGUGCUUUUGGGACUGAAAAUCAUGACGUGUGGCAAGACUUCUGAGUUAUUUCCCAGGGUGCCUUUCUGGGACAGGUUGUUUGAAAAGCUAAAUCCUAUAGUUCCCAGGACUCUGAGAUGGCCUGGGGGACCAGAACUCCUGGGGUUUCCAGAUGUGGACAGUGGUGGAAAAUCAAGUCUUUGUGGUAGGGUCCAGGGAUGGACAAGGGGCAGAACCAGGAAGGUGAUCUCUGCUUCCCUGAGUGCCCAGGCCAUGGGCCCUAUACUCCUGCAGGACUUCUGGUGUGCCAGGCUGUCCUUUCUGGCCACCCUGGACAGGUGCAUGAGGGGAGGGCUUCAUUAACCUGCUGUGGGCACCAA